UUUCUCCCACUCUGAUGCAAAUGCUCUCACACUUGCCGUCCGAGUCACUGACAGCUCGUGUAAACUCGGGUAACGAGUGGAGCACGAUCAGCGAAAGAGGAAUACACUCGGAAGCCGAACUGAAAACAGUGUUUUUUUCUCCCGGCUCUUUGUUGUAUGAGAAGAGCCGACCAACCCUGGUCGGAAGUUAAUCCUGAGCUCUCCACUGGAGGACAUCCUUCGUUCGAUCGGUAAAAAAAGGUCUGUCUGAAGGAUAUUCUAACGACCCCGAAUUACAGUGAAGAUCAACGGUGGCUUUGUUUAAAAAGCGAGAUAAAUUGUUGAAAACACCACAAUGCAGCUGGUGAGCAACCCGAAUCAGUUCAACGUGUUGGUUGCCCCGAUUUUGUACAGAAACGAUGAACGAUAGCUUAUAACUCUUGAGGUUUUCCUAGGGAAUAUGAAAGUUAAACUACCUUGUGUACCUUAUUUGAUUUUCCGCUUAUAAGGGUGCACGUCAUGCUUUGGUUGAGGGGCAGAUUAUUAUCCAGGCCGUGCAGAACGUGCUGAAAUCAGACAAGGUUCACACCAAGCAUCUGGGCGGCCAAUCGACCACCAACAGCUUCACCCAGAAUGGCAAUUAGCGAUAAGUGAAUAGUUCUAUUUCAACGAAACUUUGUUUCCGACGUUUUUUUUUCGUUCGUCAACCAAAUGCAAUGUUAAAAUUUAAAAGGUAUACAAUCUGUAUUGCAGACAGCUUGCUACGUUUGAGUUUUCGAUUCAGAUUUCUAAUUCAGAUUCAUUUAUAAAUUCCGAUUGAUAUUUCAGAUUAAGUUUUACGAUUCAGAUUCAGUUAAAUAUUUCAGAUUCUGAUUCCCGAUUCAAUUCCAAAUUGGAGAUUAACAUUAAGUUUUCGACUUAGAUUUUCAAAUUCAGUUCCAGACUUCAAACAGAUUCAGAUUUCAAAUCGAUAUUCAGAUUUAGGGUUCAGUUUUAGAUUUACAUCCAGUUUCAAGAUUCAGAUUUUAGAUUUAAAUGAAUAUAUUGUUUUCAGAUUAGAUUGAAAUUUCCGAUUCAGUUUCAAAGUUAAGACCCAAGGAGCCCACACCAGGCAGCUCAAUUGAAAUGUUUGGUGGAGGGGGUGAGCGGAGGGUCCUUGAGCAAAAAUUAAAAAAAAAGAUUUGCAUUUAAAUCGGGAUUUCAGAUCUAGUUCCACAUUACCUACAGGUUCAGAUUCAGAAUCAGAUUUUAAAUUCAGAUUUCAGAUUUAGAUUCAGAUUUCAGAUUCAUUUUAAGAUUCUGAUCCAGAUUUAUAAUACGAUUUCAGACCGAGAUUCAGAUUCAAAGUUCAAUUGAAAUUUAGAUUAUAUAUUUGAGUUAAUAUAAAAACUUCAGAUUCAGAUUACCGAUUGAGUUUUAUAUUUGAAAUUCACAUUAUGACCCAAAUUUCAGAUUCAGUUCCAUUCCAUACUUCAGUUUCCGACUCAAAUUUCAAAUUUAUUUCUUUAUUUCUGUUGAGUGGAAUUUUUAUAU